CCGGAAGGAGCUGUGGACUUUUAAGAAGAGAGAAUGCCGGAAUGAGUAGCGAGAGGAAGGUGAGAAUCCUUCCGGCCGAAUACCCAAGGUUUCCAGAGCAAAGCUGAUCUGCUCUGGGUAAGUCGGGGCCUAAGGUGAGGUCGAAAGACGUAGCCGAUGGACAACAGGUUGAAAUUCCUGUACUGCAGUAUAACAGAACUGUGGGGACGCAGAGGGAGAGCACUAGCGGGAAUGGAAUCCCGCGGCAAGCGAGGUAGGAGUCGCGCUGGCAAAUCCGCGUGACAAUCCGAAGACGUGAUGCAUACCGAACUGAAGUAGGGAAAUGUGUGAGCCAGCUGCCAAGAAAAGCCGCUAUUGUUUGUACUGUACCCGUACCGUAAACCGACACAGGUAGGUGAGGAGAGAAUCCUAAGGCCGACGGGAGAAGCAUUGUUAAGGAACUCGGCAAAAUGACUCCGUAACUUCGGGAGAAGGAGUGCCAGUGAGAGCUGGCCGCAGAGAAUUGGCCCAAGCAACUGUUUAGCAAAAACACAGGUCUAUGCAAAACCGUAAGGUGAAGUAUAUGGGCUGACGCCUGCCCGGUGCUGGAAGGUUAAGGGGAGAGGUUAGCGCAAGCGAAGCUUUGAACUUAAGCCCCAGUAAACGGCGGCCGUAACAAUAACGGUCCUAAGGUAGCGAAAUUCCUUGUCGGGUAAGUUCCGACCCGCACGAAAGGCGUAAUGAUUUGGGCACUGUCUCAACAAUGCACCCGGUGAAAUUGAAAUACCAGUGAAGAUGCUGGUUACCUGCGCCAGGACGGAAAGACCCCAUGGAGCUUUACUCCAGCUUGAUACUGGGAUUCGAUAUUGUAUGUACAGGAUAGGUGGGAGGCGAAGAAGCAUUGUCGCCAGUUGAUGCGGAGCCGCUGUUGGGAUACCACCCUUGCAGUAUUGGAUUUCUAACCAGCAGCCGUGACCCGGCUGGGGGACAAUGUCAGGCGGGGAGUUUGACUGGGACGGUCGCCUCCGAAAGGGUAUCGGAGGCGCUCAAAGGUUCCCUCAGAAUGGUUGGAAACCAUUCGAAGAGUGCAAAGGCAGAAGGGAGCUUGACUGCGACACCGACGGGUGGAGCAGGUACGAAAGUAGGACUUAGUGAUCCGGUGGUAUAAAGUGGGAUUGCCAUCGCUCAACGGAUAAAAGCUACCCUGGGAUAACAGGCUUAUCACUCCCAAGAGUUCACAUCGACGGAGUGGUUUGGCACCUCGAUGUCGGCUCAUCGCAUCCUGGGGCUGAAGUAGGUCCCAAGGGUUGGGCUGUUCGCCCAUUAAAGCGGUACGCGAGCUGGGUUCAGAACGUCGUGAGACAGUUCGGUCCCUAUCCGGCGUGGGCGUAGGUUAUUUGAGAGGAGCUGGCCUUAGUACGAGAGGACCGGGCUGGACUGACCGCUGGUGUAUCUGUUGUUCCGCCAGGAGCAUGGCAGAGUAGCCAAGUCAGGAAGGGAUAAACGCUGAAGGCAUCUAAGCGUGAAGCCCCCCUCAAGAUGAGAUAUCCCAACGCAAGUUGUAAGACCCCUUGAAGACGACAAGGUAGAUAGGGCAGAGGUGGAAGUGCAGUAAUGCAUGGAGCUGACUGUUACUAAUCGGUCGAGGGCAUAACC
rnacentral:rRNA from 1 species